rnacentral:lncRNA from 1 species
AUCACCCCAAUCUCCAAUCGACAUUCCUUUUCGAUGGUAGGUGUUGCAUCAUCCGACGGCAGCAUGAUGGUGGUUUCUUCUUUUGUAAUUCAAAUUUCAAAAUUUGAUUGUUAAAAAAGAAUUUGAAAUUUUAAAUGUUAAUUGAUGGGUUGGUAGAGCAAAAUUUGAAAUUCAAAUUUUAAAUUCAAAUUUCAGGUUUGGUGGGUAUACCUCU